CCUACGGGUGGCAGCAGUGGGGAAUAUUGCACAAUGGGCGCAAGCCUGAUGCAGCCAUGCCGCGUGUGUGAAGAAGGCCUUCGGGUUGUAAAGCACUUUCAGCGGGGAGGAAGGCGUUAAGGUUAAUAACCUUGUCGAUUGACGUUACCCGCAGAAGAAGCACCGGCUAACUCCGUGCCAGCAGCCGCGGUAAUACGGAGGGUGCAAGCGUUAAUCGGAAUUACUGGGCGUAAAGCGCACGCAGGCGGUCUGUCAAGUCGGAUGUGAAAUCCCCGGGCUCAACCUGGGAACUGCAUUCGAAACUGGCAGGCUAGAGUCUUGUAGAGGGGGGUAGAAUUCCAGGUGUAGCGGUGAAAUGCGUAGAGAUCUGGAGGGAUACCGGUGGCGAAGGCGGCCCCCUGGACAAAGACUGGCGCUCAGGUGCGAAAGCGUGGGGAGCAAACAGGAUUAGAUACCCCUGUAGUC
rnacentral:rRNA from 1 species